UAUAUUAGUGUCGCUAAUGGUUUCUUUAAUUUUUUUAAGGAAUUAAAAGGGAAUACGGUGUAAUUCCGUUACUGUCCCGCAGCUGUAAGCUCCGCAACGGCAUUCAAAUCAGGCCACUGUUACAUCCUCCAAAGGAUUAGAACGGGAAGGUAGAAUGACCGGGAGCAAGUCAGAAGACCUGCCUUUAGUAUUCAUUUCGA
rnacentral:ncRNA from 2 species